UACGUAGGGGGCAAGCGUUGUCCGGAAUCAUUGGGCGUAAAGCGCGUGUAGGCGGCCCGAUAAGUCCGCUGUGAAAGUCCAGGGCUCAACCCUGGAAUGCCGGUGGAUACUGUCGGGCUCGAGUCCGGAAGAGGCGAGUGGAAUUCCUGGUGUAGCGGUGAAAUGCGCAGAUAUCAGGGAGGAACACCGAAGUGGCGAAGGCGACUGACCCUGGUCCUUGUUUCUUGACGGCUGAGGCGACGAAAAGGCCUAGGGGGAGCAAACACGGG
rnacentral:rRNA from 1 species